GACGUAGGGCGCGAGCGUUGUCCGGAUUUAUUGGGCGUAAAGAGCUCGUAGGCGGCUUGUCGCGUCGAAUGUGAAAACUCGGGGCUCAACUCCGAGCUUGCAUUCGAUACGGGCAGGCUAGAGUUCGGUAGGGGAGACUGGAAUUCCUGGUGUAGCGGUGAAAUGCGCAGAUAUCAGGAGGAACACCGGUGGCGAAGGCGGGUCUCUGGGCCGUUACUGACGCUGAGGAGCGAAAGCGUGGGGAGCGAACAGG
rnacentral:rRNA from 1 species